UAGAUAUGUAAUACUAGUGCUAUCUAAUGCACCAAACAGUAGACAUGCCAUACUUUGGUGCAUUAGAUAGCACUAUGGUAGAUAUGUAAUACUAGUGC
rnacentral:pre_miRNA from 1 species